UUUUCCUAUACCUUCCUUUGGUCCUUAUAAGUAUCCAAAUUGCCCUAAAAUAACUUCUGCACAUGCAGCAUUAGGAAGCAGUGUUUCCCAACCACUACAUUUGAAUGAUUCAUUCCUCUGAGGACCCUCAAGUACUUCAGAAGAACUAAAAAAUGAAUAUCACGUUACACCAAAGAAGAAAUGAAAGCUGCCAGUGUCUUCUGAAGUUAAACAGGCUCCUGUUCUUUGACCCAGCAAUCCAAUCCUAGGACUCCAACUAAGCCACUAUGCUGGGAGCAGAGAUGGGGAAGAAUUGCUGAGUCAUGAUAAGAGAAGGCACUAUAGGAAGAAACAGUGAACUCUUAACAGCUGGGCAAGCAAUGAGUCAGCCUGGGUGGUCACUCCAGAUGCUCCCGGACACAUCCCAAUUUCUAGGAUGCCUUGCUAAUCUGGGAGGGCUUUCCACACGCCCACCUGAAGACCAUGUGUGACCACGCCCCCAGAGGAGCAUGCCUUCUCCCACUCCCCAAUCCCAUUGCUUAUGACUUCAUUCACAUUUAGAGCGUGGACAGUGAAUCCCCAAUGUCAUUUACACAGUGUUGUUCUUGUCAUGGUCUAAACCAGCUUACCCCACUGCCACAUUUAUCCAUCAGCCUAUGGGAAAAGGGAAAAAGGAUGUGGAAGUGAAGUGAUCUUUAAAAGCCAAGGAAAGGAAGACAGGAAAAAUGAAGAUAAAUCCCAAAAGAUCAAUAUUUACUUUUAGUCUGCAUUUAAGUGUGCAUCGUUGAGAGAAUCCACGGCAACUUUUAUUAAAGAUAGAAGUUGUACUUGCCAACACAUCAACAAUUUAUGUUUAGAAACAAGAUACUCAAUCUCAAGUUAUCUUCCCUCUGUAAGCCGC
rnacentral:lncRNA from 10 species